AGAGACCGGCGCACGGGUGCGUAACGCGUAUGCAAUCUACCUUUUACAGGGGAAUAGCCCAGAGAAAUUUGGAUUAAUGCCCCAUAGUAUAAUUUAUUCGCAUGAGUAGAUUAUUAAAGUUCCAACGGUAAAAGAUGAGCAUGCGUCCCAUUAGCUAGAUGGUAAGGUAACGGCUUACCAUGGCGACGAUGGGUAGGGGUCCUGAGAGGGAGAUCCCCCACACUGGUACUGAGACACGGACCAGACUCCUACGGGAGGCAGCAGUGAGGAAUAUUGGUCAAUGGACGCAAGUCUGAACCAGCCAUGCCGCGUGCAGGAUGACGGUCCUAUGGAUUGUAAACUGCUUUUGUACGAGAAGAAACACUCCGACGUGUCGGAGCUUGACGGUAUCGUAAGAAUAAGGAUCGGCUAACUCCGUGCCAGCAGCCGCGGUAAUACGGAGGAUCCAAGCGUUAUCCGGAAUCAUUGGGUUUAAAGGGUCCGUAGGCGGUUUAGUAAGUCAGUGGUGAAAGCCCAUCGCUCAACGGUGGAACGGCCAUUGAUACUGCUAAACUUGAAUUAUUAGGAAGUAACUAGAAUAUGUAGUGUAGCGGUGAAAUGCUUAGAGAUUACAUGGAAUACCAAUUGCGAAGGCAGGUUACUACUAAUGGAUUGACGCUGAUGGACGAAAGCGUGGGUAGCGAACAGGAUUAGAUACCCUGGUAGUCCACGCCGUAAACGAUGGAUACUAGCUGUUGGGCGCAAGUUCAGUGGCUA
rnacentral:rRNA from 1 species